rnacentral:lncRNA from 1 species
AAAAAUCAAGGGCAAUCUACUUCCAAAUCUGUUAAUACGGCUUUUCGUUGAACGUUAGACUCAUGCAGCACCCACGAAAAUAGCAUCUCUUGAUGAAAGCGUAAGAGCUCCUUCUAAAUAAUAUAUCAUGGAAUCAGUUUGCAAUCACCAAACUAUAAAUAAAACGUGUUAAGUAAUCAAAAUAACUCUUACCGUGGUGUAAUUGGGAAAGGUAUUCCCUUCCAAGUGUUGUGAACCAUCCCACAACUCCAUAUAUAUCACAACUAAAAUACCACAGUCAUAAUUGCAUCAACCAAAAUAAAUUUAACCCUAAAGAACAAUUCAAAAUAUUAACUCCAAACCAAAUUAGAGA